rnacentral:misc_RNA from 1 species
UAAAGUGCGAUAUGUAAUGUGAUCUGCAUGAAUCUGUGAGUCAUUAAAUUUUUGAACGCAACUUGCACCAUUUGGGCGACCAAAUGGUAUGUCUGUUUGAGAACCACAAAAACCAUCACUAUUACCUAGUGGAGUUGGAAUGGAGUGAUCCAUUCUGAAAUGCAGCAAGCAUGAGAAUGAUUUCUUGAUUUACGUGAUAGAGGCCCGUGGGUCUUUUUCGCAAAUCAAGAAAUCGCUCUUUUGAAGCAAUUCAAAUUUUUGUACCUUGGUCUCAAAUCAGGCAAGACUACCCGCUGAACUUAA